rnacentral:lncRNA from 1 species
GGGCCUGACUAGAACUCUGAAAAAGAGUGUGUCCCUGUUAAAAAGGGCAGAUACACAGCAGCUUUUCGUUCCAAGCACCAUUUGCAAUAUAUAAUGCUUUUUCCAGAUGUGGCAGAGGACUGAGUCAUUCAGAGCUCCCUGGUUUCAUAAGCUACAAAGGAAUCAACUUAAUUAUCACAUCAGAUUAAUCAUUGCAAUGCACUUUUCAGCAGACAAAAUACGUUACAAUGCCCUGAAUCGUUAACAAAAAGACAAGAAACCACUGUGCUUCAGUAUUCCAAAUAUUUAUUUUCGCACGACAAUGAGACCUUUUUAACCCAGCUAUAUCCUUUGCUGGGCCUCAAGGAAACACUAACAGCAAGUAGCAAGAAGAAAUCAGUUCAAGAGGUCCAGAAAGGCGGGGAAAAUGAAAAGGGAUGUUUGGGAAACACUGUGAAGCAGUAGACAUAUUAAUUAUUCUAACAACACAAUAAGAUCCUUUUCCUAGCUCCCCCCUAAGCAGUACUGCAAUAAAACUUACUAAAUUAGAAUUCAGGGCUCACAGUUAUAUUCAGAAAGAGAGCCAGAAGUGAAGUCAAUUGGCAAAAGGAGAGUGCAGAGGCAGAAUAAAUUGGAUAACUAUUCUACAAUAAACAAACAUAAUACAAGCAUUAAAACUUUUAAAGUCACGUCUAGUGAAUAGUUCCAUUCUGUAAUGAAAGGGCAAACUACAAUACUGAAUUACAAAAAGAAAUGCUAUGGUUACAUAUGCUUCAGGUUACAGACUCUGCUAACCCAGAAAUAAUGCUUCAGGUUAAGAACUUUGCUUCAGGAUGAGAACAGAAAUUGUGCUCCGGUGGUGCGGUGGCAGCAGGAGGCCCCAUUAGCUAAAGUGGUGCUUCAGGUUAAGAACAGUUUCAGGUUAAGAACAGACCUCCGGAACGAAUUAAGUACUUAACCCUAGGUACCACUGUAUAUGCAUUUAACACUGAAGAAUAAGAACCUGGUCAGUGUCCUUGACUCCAUGACUGAGUUUAGGUUUCCAGCACCCUUCAGAAUUCUUGAGGUCAAAGACUGUAAGCAGACCAACAUUCAGAUUUCUCCUGAAUUGAAAGGGGAUUAAUAAUACUACAGAUUAACAUUUGAACACCUACUCGUAAUAAACCCUGUCCCACAUUGCCACCUGUGAAAAGUAUGCUUAAUACUAUGCCUACAUACAGCCAGCAAUGGGUCCACCCACUGCCUGCCAAUACCAAGUUGUAUCUGCUCAGCAGCAGUGAUUCAGCUAAGGCUGGACCUUGAGGCUGAGUUCAUAAACAUGACUGGCUAACCCACCCACCCCUGCCACAUGACCAUUAAGUCUAGGGUCUAAAAUUACUUACAUACCCCACUUGUCAACACUAUUUUAUUAUUAGCCCAACAGAAUUCUGGCAUGAGCCUUAAGAGCUGUGCUGGAUCAGGUCAAAGGCUCAUCCAGUCCAGUACUCUGUUCCCAGUGGCCAACCAGUUGCUUCUAGGAAGCCCACAAGUCAAAUGUGAGCACAACAGUACUCUUCCACUCAUCCUCCCUGCCGCGCCCAGAAGUUGGUAUUCAAGGGCAUAUGACCCUCUGAUGCUGGAGGUAGUAUAAGUCCACUGGUAGCGAUUGAUCACCACAUUCUGUGUGAAUCUGUCUAAUCCCAUUUUAAAACUGCUUUUAACGGUAGCCACCACCACAUCUUGCAGUAGCAAAUUCCAAGUUUUAACAAUGUGCUGUAUGAAGAUGUUUGCCUUGAACCUCCCACCAUUUAGCUUCAUUGAGUGACCUCAGGUAGUAGUAUUAUGUGGGAGGCCUAUCCAUUUUCUACACACCAUACAUAUAAUUCUAUAUCAGGCUUCCUCAACCUCGGCCCUCCAGAUGUUUUGAGACUACAAUUCCCAUCAUCCUGACCACUGGUCCUGCUGGCUAGGGAUCAUGGGAUUUGUAGGCCAAAAACAUCUGGAGGGCUGAGGCUGAGGAAGCCUGUUCUAUAUCACAUCCCUUCCCCCUUGUUUGCCUUUUCUUCUUCCAAAGCUAAAAAGCUGCAGAUGCUACAUGUCAGUCAACGUUUCCUCAUAGACCCCUAGUAAUUUCCCCACACCUUCCUGCUUCUCCAGCUAUCAACUGGACAAAAAGCUACAACCCUUCAGGCCCAGCUUGUAAGUGAAAUGACUGGUCAUAACCAGUUGGGCCAGUCUGCAUGCGCAUCUCUGGAUAGAUAAAAAUCAAGCCCUUCUAAGAAGAAGAAAAACAUCUGAGGAUGUCAAAUAUUUUCUUUAAACUAAAUGUUCUAGUCACUUCACUUCAAAAAUAAUAUUGUAUAGCUAGAAAGGGUUGGGAAAAGGCUAAUCAAGGGGAUGGAGCCACUUUCCUAUAAGGAAAAGUUACAACAUUUGGGGCUUUUUGUUUAGAAAAAAAGGCAGGAAAGAAGGAAACACAAUGGAGGCACAUACAAUUACAAUUUUUCGUACAAUCAGUGUAUAUAUUUUAUGAAAUUAAUAAUAAUAAUAAUAAUAAUAAUAAUAUUCAUGGUGUGCAAAAAGUAGAUAAAUAAAAAGUUUUCUUUCUCUCUUUUAACUCUAGAGCUCAAUAGACAUCCGAUGAAACUGAAUGGCGAAAGAUUCAAAGCAGCUAAGAGAUUCCCAUUUGCUUGGACAUGAGUAUGUUCUCUUCACGUUUUAUGGUGUGUAGCAUUACAGACACCAAUGUGCACACAUGAAUAUGCCUAUAUUGCUACAUAAAUAAAUCACUUGUCUUCUAAGUUGUUUUAUUCUGCUAUAGUAUAUGGACUAACACAAUACAUGCUAUUCUGAUUCUGAAUCAUGUGUCACUGGGACAAAGGCUGUGAAAAUUUUAUUUGCUAUAUUUCCACACUAGAAAAGCCCAGAAUAUGAAUUUUUAUUCUGCCAACACUUGGAACUCCUAACUCACCAUGUUUUAGUUUAUGAACUUGUUGAAGUUGCUUAAUGGCAGAGUCAUGUACAAGCACUUUUCACAUGUUCCAAACCAGACUCAGCACUGACCCCAGGAUCCCUUGCUAUUGUGUUGUACAAAGGGUUGGGGCUAGUUUUUCUUCUUCUUUUUCUUCUUCUUCUCUUCCUCUCCCUCUCUUUCUUUUAAACAAGUGUUAAUUUAUAAGCAAGACUAAACAUUUAAGCCAAUCCAGCUUUCGGAAUUUCCCAAUGGAAAAUUGCAGUCUUUGAGGUCAGUGUAAUCUUAGCACUAGGACUAUCAGUCACUUGAAACUUUUCCAUUAUAGAAGAACAGUAACUUCUACAAGCUUGCCAGCUGAACCAAUUUUAUCUGGAGUGUUUUGAUGGAAGGACCCAGCUGGUGAAACCAUGAGAAUCUUGGCUUUCCCCCAAGCAGAUGCAGACUUUAAGACUUGUGCACACAUAAAAACAAGACACAUUGUAAAAUCCCAGAAUGAGCUGAACAAUUUUUAAUAUUAAGUACCAAUUUAAUUGUUCAGUUGGAGGGUUUUGGGCUAAGCAGCAACUCAAAUUAGAACAUUAGAUUUUUUUAUACUUUUAUGUGCAAUUUUAAAAAUACAUAAGACAGCAUUAGCCCUGCAUUUAUUGAACAGCAGCCCUCCAUGUUCCAUAGAAAUAAGCUGCAUUUAUAAAUGAAAAAUGUUUCAAAAGCAGCUUGUGAUUUGGCAUGGGGCUCUGCUGUUCUAAGGGGCGAAAGGUUUUCCGAAAUCUCACUAGCAUACCCCAGCUCUUUCAAUGAACCUAAAGUAGCUCUUUUGAGUCUACCCAUUCUGUUAUGAUUAGGGCUCUCAUCCUGUGAGCUCAUAACAUUUAUAGAAAUGAGGCCAAGGUAGGGUUGCUGUACUUUAUGAAUAGCCUCCUUAUGUGAACACUUGCUUUACUCCUACUCCACCUAUUCUGCAAAUAUUUUGAGGGGGUAAAAGAAACAAGAGUCACCAACGGGAGAACAAAGACAUAACAUGCAUGGAUACGGGGCAAUAGCAGAAAAUAAUGGCUGCAAUUUAUUUUUUCAACCUAUGAUGUGAUAGCAGAAAGGGGGAAAGAAACAUUAAGAAGUAGAUAUAGCCCCUUCUGCUGAAUCAUUCCUAAGGACAGGAUUUUGGAAACAGUUGGAAAUCUGCCAGGAUGCUUCCAGAUAGAGAGUUCAUAGUGCUACCAUUGUUCUUCUGCUGUAAGCUAAAAGCAGAAUGGCAAGCAGCCAUUAUCCAGGCUUCUGGACUCAUCUUGCAGUGUUCGAUGUGUGCAUCCCACUAUAUUACAUAGCUAUGGUGGGCGUGGCAUAGCUGUGUGAGCAGCGUUGUCCUCUUCCCCACCCCUCAACCAUACUUCUGACAUUUUGAAGCAUGUGCUUCUCAGAACCAUUUUAGCAACUUUUUUUUGUGCAUGCACCUGGAUUUGUGUCUAUAGAGUGCCUACACUACAGGUCAAGAUGAUUGCAGCUCAUCUUACUUCCAAGUAAGCACAGUUACACAACCGGGCUCUAAUUCCUGUAGAUUUCACCUGAGGGUGCCAGAUUUCUAAUGUAGCCAAUUCCACAACUGGAUCUAGAACAACACAAUUUCCUCUGCUUGUUAGCUGUACUAUCUACUACAACACAAUUCUGGGUUGUAUUCAACCAAAUCUUACUCAGAGUAGACCUACUGAAAUGAAUAAACAUAAGUUACUCAUGUCAGUUAAGUUUGAUGGGUUUAUCCGACUAGGACUAGUGUUGAGUACCACUUUUUUUUUUUUACAUAGUGUCUAUAGCACAGGGCUGACAGAUGCCUGCCUUCCAGGAUUAUAGGUGGAACCUACACAGAUUUUCUAAGAAAGCAAGUACCGGUACAUGGCUAGAGGAUUGUAACUUUACAGGAUCACAGACAAAAUUUACAUGUCUGUACUUGGAAGCAAGCACUGCUGUUUACAGUGUGAUCAACUAAUUAAAUAGCUUAAAUUGAAAUGUGUGGGUUGAGGAAAUCUCAUUCCAGGAAACAAUUAAUUGGUUGAUCAAGAGAAAGGAUUUGUGGUGCAUGACAUGAAAUGGCUCCAAAACCAGAAAAGCAUAGCAAGCAGUAGAGAAAGAAGGAACAUACCUAACGUGUAAUUACCUUAUCCAAGGACAACCCCUUCCAUUGCCCUACCAUUAUCUGUAAAGAGCUGGCAAUAUUUACCUCCUUAACAGAUUUUGAAUGGUAAGAAAAAAUAUAGAGGAAGCAUAGACUCAUAGAACUGUAGAGUUGGAAGGGACCAUGAGGAUCAUCUCUAAUCCAACCUCCUGCAAUGCAGGAAUUAUUUUGCCCAAUGUGGGGCUUGAACCUCAAACCCUGAAAUCAAGAGUCUCAGUUAUAAUGAAAACAUAGGACGAUAACAGUUACAAUGGAAAUGAAAUGGAAACAAUGGAAACAGUUACAAUGGAAACAGUUACAAUGGAAAUCUAAUAAAAUUGCAUUAAGGAGGCAUAGCAAUUGUACAUUAGAAGCCUCAUCUGGAAGCAUUCCAGGCUUGCAAGUAUGAAGCACGUCCUCCCAAAGUAUUUUUGAUGGUUCCCAUAAUCUGUUUUCAGUGCUUAGUCAAAAACAUAUGAAAAACUACAUUAAGUUCUUACAGCAUCCGAGAAGUGCCUUUACUCUUUAAGAAUGUGGAAAAACUUUAUAUAGCAGCUCACAAACCUAGGAUGAGAUUUCUCAGUCUUUAGUAUGAUAACUCAAAAGUUAAGUUCUAUGUUUACUCAGAAAUAAAUAUGCAUAGGCAAACUUAAGAAGUCUAAGAUUGCAGUUAUACAUAUUUAUUCCUAAAACCCAAAGGAUUCAAUAGAAUUUACUGCUGAAUAAUCAUACUUAGGACUGUACUGGUAGUCAAUUAUUUAGUGUUUAAAUACCUAAUUAAUUGAUCAGUAGUUAAUCACCUAAGCUUUGUCACAGAUCAAAGUGGCUUCCUCCAGUGGGGAUUUUCUGAGUGUUCUGAAGAUGGGUCAGCCUGUGUUCAAAGUUCUUCAUGUACAGUACUUUAUUUCAGUAAUCCUUCCAGCAGUUCUACAAGGUCACUAUUAAUAUCCUCAUAUUGCAGACUGGGGGAAGGGGUGAGGUUGAGAAAAUAAUGAUUUGAUUGUUUACAAUACUGCACCAGCUGUUUCCCAUUCCAAUUAAAUGUAACUUUUGCUUUCUUAAUAAUGUGGUAUCCUUUGACUCUGCAACUGCAAGUUGUUGUUUAAGAACAACUGUCUAC